GUUGUGUUACCCAGAUAAUGUAGUAACACAGAUACGCACACAGCCUAUGAAGUAAACCACACCUCUUCAUUAUCAUAAAACAUGUAUGUUCUUUGUUAAGGUGCUCAUAUUAUAGUAAUUUUUAGGUUCAUAAUUGUAUUUAGAGGUUAUAUCAGAAUAGGCUUCUAUGGUUUAAUUUCCAAAAAACAUCAUAUUUUUAUUGUACUGCACAUUGCUGCAACUCCUCUUUUCACCCUGUGUGUUGAGCUCUCUGUUUUAGCUACAGAGUGAGGCAUCUCACUUCUGUUCCAUCUUUGUUGGGAGUCGUACAUGCACAGCACCUAGGUAAGGACUACUAGCCAGUCAGAAGCAGAGUACGAGGGCGUGCCACACUAUCAGCAAGGUGAGCAUUAUAACAUGUUUUACAAAGUGAGCACGUUUGUCUCUGAA